GAUGAACGCUGGCGGCGUGCCUAAUACAUGCAAGUCGAGCGAACAGACGAGGAGCUUGCUCCUCUGACGUUAGCGGCGGACGGGUGAGUAACACGUGGAUAACCUACCUAUAAGACUGGGAUAACUUCGGGAAACCGGAGCUAAUACCGGAUAAUAUAUUGAACCGCAUGGUUCAAUAGUGAAAGACGGUUUUGCUGUCACUUAUAGAUGGAUCCGCGCCGCAUUAGCUAGUUGGUAAGGUAACGGCUUACCAAGGCAAUGAUGCGUAGCCGACCUGAGAGGGUGAUCGGCCACACUGGAACUGAGACACGGUCCAGACUCCUACGGGAGGCAGCAGUAGGGAAUCUUCCGCAAUGGGCGAAAGCCUGACGGAGCAACGCCGCGUGAGUGAUGAAGGUCUUCGGAUCGUAAAACUCUGUUAUUAGGGAAGAGCAAAUGUGUAAGUAACUAUGCACGUCUUGACGGUACCUAAUCAGAAAGCCACGGCUAACUACGU
rnacentral:rRNA from 1 species